rnacentral:rRNA from 1 species
UCGAGAAUUUUUCUCAAUGGGGGAAACCCUGAAGGAGCGACGCCGCGUGGGGGAUGAAUGGCUUCGGCCCGUAAACCCCUGUCAUUUGCGAUCAAACCUUACGACCUAACACGUCGUAAGCUGAUAGUAGCGGAAGAGGAAGGGACGGCUAACUCUGUGCCAGCAGCCGCGGUAAUACGAAGGUCCCAAGCGUUGUUCGGAAUCACUGGGCGUAAAGGGUGCGUAGGCGGUGUGGUAAGUCAGAUGUGA